rnacentral:lncRNA from 1 species
CCCAACCAAAAACCUAAGUUGGAACUAACCAACAGAAAGAAAAUAAAAGAGAGUUGAAACAAUUCUCUCAAGAAUUCAGACCAACACAAUUACUCUCAAGACUGAUUAAAUAAAAAUCUGAAAAUAGAUAAAAUAAAUCACAGUGUUGAUAAAACAACAAAUCUGAACCGGGAUAAAAUUAAAAACUCGGUCGAUCAUCGACCCAAUCCACAAAUCGGGAUAUUUGAAAAUCUGAAACUAACCACCAAUCAAUCAGAAAAUAAAUAAAAUCUCUUCGUGUCAAAAUGAACUCAAUGAUUCUAUACAGAUCAUAACAACCUGCUGAAAUAGAAAUCCAGUCAUAAAGCUAAGGAAAAGAAAAUCCAAUUAUGCAUCAACACCAUCAACAAUUCUGAAAUAUAUCAAAUUUAUUCGUUUCAAAAUGAACCCAAAUGACUCUCUAUCGAUCGUAUCAACCUGCUGAAAAAGAAAUCCAAUCAUGACAAUAAGAAAAACCCAAUCAUACAUCAACACCAUCGACCAAUCUAAAAUCUGGAAAUCUAGAACUAACAUAAUCAAAUCUGGAAUUAAAUAAAAUGGGCGCGUUUUUGGGACGGCCGGUUGUUCGAACGGUCCCUUUUGCGGACCUCCGAUCUGGCCGUCCGUUAGAGUGCGAAUUCUCGGCUGUUCAUUCUUCUUCCUCCCACUCGACGCGCGAUGGGACGUGCGCCAUGCCCUGCUGUUGAAUUGGUCCUUCUCAACACCUUUACCGCGAACUGUUCAUCCCGUACGAUGACGUCGUUCUUCCACCUCCUAAUUACUCGUUCCACCCAUAUUUCUAACAUCGUUCUUAUUGGUUACCCUCCGCCGGACUGACGAAUCGCCAUAUAUCUUGCUCUUACCUUCCGAUAACUGUCCCUCUGCAAAUCAGAGCACUUUGCUACCGUCGGCGUUGACCAUUUCCUACAGCAAGCUCCGGUUAUUUAAAAUCAGGUAUCAUACCCAAUCUUUUGUCAAUCGUUUUCUCGUGAAACCAAAAAUUUAUUUUGAAAUCCCUUAUCAUAUACAUUCUGUUCGGUCAAUGUUCACGCCCAGGUGUAUUUUCUACCUAAUCUAUGAAGCUUUAUUCCUGUAAAUACCCAUUAUGUUUAGAUUGCAUUGGGGGAACCAUUACCCCCUUCUUCCCCCCUGAAAGCACGUUAAAAAGUCAAUAAUGUGAUCUCUGGAUCGGGCUUUCUUACAUAAUCAGUUCAUCUAAGAAAUACACCUGGGCGUUGUUCCUUUGAAGUCUGAGUUAUGGUUCGAGUAGCAUGAUUGUCCUGCAAAAAAUCUUGCGAAAUAGAAGGUCACUAUAAAAUCUUAUGUCUACCAAAACUAACUCUAAAACCAUAUGCGAUAUAAUUCUGUUGAAUGAUACCAGAGUUCAAAUAGAAAAAUCUGGUAUAAUCUGUUACAUGUAGUUUAAACGGAAAACCUUAUUAUAAUUUUUUGCAAAUGUAAUAACAUUUAUUAACAUUUUGUUUUUGUUCCUAGAAAGCUUCUCCAAACUUCAUUAAAGAAUCCUGGUCUUAGUUUUUUUUAUUACGACUUUGUAAUUUGAAUUAUUCACUAUUCAAA